AUACGCGUAAAAGCGAAUGGGGGAUAAAAUCCCCCAUUUUUAUCUUUCAAAACGUCUGUUUUG
rnacentral:sRNA from 1 species